UGUUCCUUUUAUUUCCCUUUGUUUAUAUCAUAUGUUUUUGAAUCAUUGAUUCCAAACCUUUUCCGAAGUUUCAAGGCCAAAUUUGAUGAUCAAAUGCCUAAAUGCUUUGUACUUCCAUUUCGGAUUCUAAGCAAUAUUUACAGAGACAAUGGUACCGGAAAACGAGUUGGUCGGUGCAGGGUCAAAGAUGAAAGCUUGAUGCGCAAGUAGUAUUUUUGGGGUCCAUAGGCUUAAAGAUCAGUUCAUUGUGGAGUCGUUCAAUAGUUAUGCAAGUAGUCCCCUGAAAGUUUUGAUCUCUGAGAUUUUGUAUUUGCAGAUUAAAAUGUUCGCGGAUCAGGAAUGCAUCAAUUUAAUGGGUAAGGAACAUGCCCCCCUCAUAUCCAAUCAUAGAAGCGAUAUCGAUUGGUUAGUCGGAUGGGUUUUGGCUCAGUUAUCGGGUUGUCUUGGCAGUGUAUUAGCUGUUAUGAAGAAAUCAUUGAACCACUCAUUUGGUGUUCGAUAUCGUUGGUCGUUUAUCUUCCAGGAUACAACAACUAGAUUAUCAACUACAGUAGCACAACAGUAGAGAUCACAAACUAUCAUGGCCUUCGACUAUCACCGGAAAAUUAAGAAGAGAAUAUUUUUUCAAGAAAAUAAAAGUUCUUGAAUUUUGAGAUGUGAAUUAUAAUCUAUUCUUAUCAUAAUGCUUGAAGUAGUUCAUUGCAUUAAAAUUUUCAACUCUAUGUAACUUUUUGCAUUUGUUUGAUUCGUGAUAUGUAGGACAAGUUGUUGGACAAACAUAUGAGAAUACUUUCAGCGACCAACCGUCGCAUGACAUCGGUCGGCCGAUUCAGUCACUUUUGGUUAUGGCGAGUUAGGCAUGAGUUGUGGGAUAUGGGAUAGUUAAGUUAGUUCAAUGGUGUUCGGUUUUGUCAUCAUGGAAGGGCAUUGCGUUUUCUGCAGUAGGGUUGGCCAUAGUUACCAUGCUCAUGCAGAUCUUGAUUCUCUUCUCUCAGUCGGACCGUUCAAGCCCUGUUGAGGUUGCUUCUCGAAACCCUCAGAAUUUGGACUCUGUACAGAAGCCAUUACUGGCGUAAACCAUUCUGUAAAUUAUCUUCUUAUAUUCGACACAAAGGCGAAUCUACAGGGACAAGUAAACACCUUGGCCCUUCAC